UGCCUGGCACUUCCGAGCUUCCCAUUCUCUCUCUCCUCAGGCUAGCGCGGGUGGCCGGGGAGUCGUGGCGGGGACAAUGGAUGGGAAAAUCUGACGUGUUAAUCCAACUGGCACGUGGACCGGCUAACCUCCAACCUCCCCCAGAAGGACGCUGAAUUCCUUCAAACUUGGUGUGUGUCUUCCUCAAAGAGGGCCCCAUCGUUCUCCCUGCACCUGGCUUCAGGCGUCGGCAUUCCCGAUCAUCCUCGGACCUUCUGAACACGGGUUUCACUUAGAUGAAAAAGUCUUCUUCCAAGGGUGAAGUUCACCUCUGCCGUCUGAUCCUGCCGGCUAACAACCUAAGUAUCUUGAGGAAUUUCUCUGAGUGUCUCCGUUUAAAUCGCUUGUGGUUUCUGUUUGCAACUGGACUGACCUUUCCAGACCCAUUUCCUCAUCCUCCUGGAUAGGAGAGGCUGGUAAAUCGCAAUCCUCUUGGUUUAGUCUCCACGGCUGACCCUCGGGGAGAGAUCACUGUUUGGUGUGGCUUUGUUCUGGUGAUGCAACAGCCAAGCUAGAGCCCGAAACACUGUUUCCCUUUCUAAAAGCCCUUGCUGAUUUCGGGAAUGGGCUCUCUCCGCCCACACCUCUUUCCCCACCGAACCAAAUGGGACUUUUCCCAAGAGUUACUACAUGUUAAUAAACAUACUCAG